UUGUGUUGGGAAUGUGAAAGUUGUUAGAAUUCAAAUAGAGUCACUAGUGUUUUAAAAAAACAAACCAUGACAAAUAGAGCUGGGGAGGCCAUGAAGAGGGGAUUCUCAUGCUUGUAUGCCUAAUACCAAAAAUGAUCACAAAAGAUUCUGCAAAAAUUACAACCUUGCACAUAGGCUGCUGCAACCUCACACAAAAAUUACUUCUGCAAAGACAUCUGCCUAGCAACUGCCUGUCCAACCUCGGACUGGUGUGACCUUUGUUAUUGAUAUUUGUAGCCAAGGAUAAUUAUUUCAAAACCAUUAUGUAAUCCUCCUCAUUUUUUCCUUUAAAAACCUUUGUUUUUCUUUUUUUUUUUCUUUGUUUUUUUGAGUCAGAGUCUCGCUCUGUCGCCCAGGCUGCAGUGGCUCGACCUCGGCUCACUGCAAGCUCCACCUCCCGGGUUCACGCCAUUCUCCUGCCUCAGCCUCUCCGAGUAGCUGGGACUACAGGCGCCCGCCACCACGCCCGGCUAAUUUUUUGUAUUUUUUAGUAGAGACAGGGUUUCACCGUGGUCUCGAACUCCUGACCUCGUGAUCCGCCCGCCUCGGCCUCCCAAAGUGCUGGGAUUACAAGCGUGAGCCACCGCGCCCGGCCAUGAAUAUAAUUUAUAUGGACAAGAUUCACUUUAACCUAAGUGUUUCCACUAAUUCUACUAAUAGGUUUUUAAAUAAGUUUACUAUCUUGUGUUCCCACACAGAAGACUUUUCUUUGCUCUCAGAAGCAUUUGUUUACAAACACCAUUGGCUUUCCCUUCAAUUCAGAGAAAACGCCCUGUCCAAGUGGCACAGUGACAUCAUCAUCAUCCAUGAGUCAAACCACCUGUCCUUUUUAGGC
rnacentral:lncRNA from 10 species